rnacentral:rRNA from 1 species
GACGAACGCUGGCGGCGUGCUUAACACAUGCAAGUCGAACGGAAAGGCCCUGCUUUUGUGGGGUGCUCGAGUGGCGAACGGGUGAGUAACACGUGAGUAACCUGCCCUUGACUUUGGGAUAACUUCAGGAAACUGGGGCUAAUACCGGAUAGGGGCUCCUGCUGCAUGGUGGGGGUUGGAAAGUUUCGGCGGUUGGGGAUGGACUCGCGGCUUAUCAGCUUGUAGGUGGGGUAGUGGCUUACCAAGGCUUUGACGGGUAGCCGGCCUGAGAGGGUGACCGGCCACAUUGGGACUGAGAUACGGCCCAGACUCCUACGGGAGGCAGCAGUGGGGAAUAUUGCACAAUGGGCGGAAGCCUGAUGCAGCAACGCCGCGUGCGGGAUGACGGCCUUCGGGUUGUAAACCGCUUUCGCCUGUGACGAAGCGUGAGUGACGGUAAUGGGUAAAGAAGCACCGGCUAACUACGUG